GCUCUGACGAUCGAUGUUGUCGAUCAUCUCUUUUUGAACUUUAAGGGCAUUGAGGUGAGUGACGUGGAGCCGAUUUAGCUGAUCAUGAUCGUUGGCGGGAAGCUUGACUUGCGUUUGAGUGCCAGUGCCAUUGUUUUGACCAAUCAAUAUGGGCCCAGCGACUGUGUUGAGAUGGAAUCGCUGAAAGAGCUUGGGUCCUCACUGUGCUCUACUAUAGCUACUGUACAGCAGCUAUAAGCACUUGGAACUACUUCAUCAAAGUAUUAAUUGGAUCAGGCCGA
rnacentral:lncRNA from 1 species